rnacentral:misc_RNA from 1 species
UUUCCGUAGGUGAACCUGCGGAAGGAUCAUUACCGAAGUACAGGCCCUCUCGAGGGCUACACUUCCACCCUUUGUUAACUAUACUUUGUUGCUUUGGCGAGACGCCCUCGGCCACCGGCUCCGGCUGGUGAGUGCUCGCCAGAGAAAACCCAAACCCAAACUAUUCAGUGUUGUCUGAGAACUAAGUUUAAUUAUUUAAAACUUUCAACAACGGAUCUCUUGGCUCUG